CAUUUUUCCCAGUUUACAUUCCCUGUUCCUAGAUGACUCUAACUUGUGUCAAGUUGACAUAAAAUGAACCAUCACAGAAAGGAAAGAUGUCCUCAUUCUACUCUCUGGAAGUGUGAGGCCGAAAUUAAAUGCUUUCUUUUAUAGGUCGCCUUGGUCAUGGUGCUUUGUCACAGCAAUUGAAAAGUAAUGAAGACAACUGUGAUAUGGAAGUAGUUCAUCACCUACAAGAGACACAAAUUUCCAACUUAACCUUUCCAACUUCUUCUGCCACAGAUGUGGCCAUGUAGUUCUCCUGCUCUGGCUAAUAAGAUAUGAAGAGAGAGCUCAAGGGACUUUCUGGGGACCCUAGAAGCAAGCACCAGCCAGGAGGCCUCAUCCUGAUGGCUGUGCACCUGGAGGUCAUGAACCUUUUGCAGAAAAUGAAGACACAUUAAUGUUUCCAGUUGGAAGGACUGAAAGGAAGAAGAAAAAAGAAGUGAUAUUUCAAAAAGUCAAGUUUCCCAAGACUUGAACCAGAGUCUCCCUGAUGUGCUUCACCUUUGGGCAUAUAGAAGAGGAGGGAGAGUGGGUACAAGACUUGAACGUCAUGCAAACCUUUACUUUUCAAAGGAAACCAGGCUUCAGGAAUGUGGAGAAAAGAGCCUAAGAAUCAUUGUCAGCUGAUAGCAGGACUGAGAUCCACAACUCCUCCCUUUGUACCCCCUCAGCGCUCUCUUAAGAGCUGUGCUGCCCAAUAGGACAAAAGUGGGAGGAGCCCCUACUUUAUCUUACUCAUGAAAGACCUUGGGAAACUCCAGGCCGUAUCCAGCACCAUUGGACUUCUACAAGUACCUGGUCUCAGCAUUUGGAAGACUCUGAGCCUUGUGAGGCACAUGGACUUGAUUCCUGUCAUUGGUGUGUCUGCUCUUGUAAAUCUGUCUUCAGUAGUGGUGACAUUGUCACACCUCCCAAAAAUUCAGCAUAUGCUCUACUGUUGCAUGUACUCAUUUAUUCUCACUCUUGUAAGUAGAUAACAUUAUUAACCUUCAUUCUACAGCAGGGGCACUGAGUGCAGGGGUGCUGAUAACCUUCUCCAGCUACUCAUAGCAAAGACUGGCUUUAAACCAGGCAGCAUGGCUCUCGAACCUGUCUUGCAACUAUCAGUAUCAGUGGAUGUCAAUAAAGUGACACCAGAGUGACAUGAUCAUUUCCCCCAGUGUAGAGACACUUUGAUCUACAUUCAUUAAACUCCUGACUAUGUUUAAUGCUCAAA